rnacentral:rRNA from 1 species
ACGCUGAAGACUUUAGCUUGCUAGAGUUGGAAGAGUUGCGAACGGGUGAGUAACGCGUAGGUAACCUGCCUAUUAGUGGGGGAUAACUAUUGGAAACGAUAGCUAAUACCGCAUAAUAGUGUUUAACACAUGUUAGAGACUUAAAAGAUGCAAUUGCAUCACUAGUAGAUGGACCUGCGUUGUAUUAGCUAGUUGGUGGGGUAACGGCCUACCAAGGCGACGAUACAUAGCCGACCUGAGAGGGUGAUCGGCCACACUGGGACUGAGACACGGCCCAGACUCCUACGGGAGGCAGCAGUAGGGAAUCUUCGGCAAUGGGGGCAACCCUGACCGAGCAACGCCGCGUGAGUGAAGAAGGUUUUCGGAUCGUAAAGCUCUGUUGUAAGAGAAGAACGUGUGUGAGAGUGGAAAGUUCACACAGUGACGGUAACUUACCAGAAAGGGACGGCUAACUACGUGCCAGCAGCCGCGGUAAUACGUAGGUCCCGAGCGUUGUCCGGAUUUAUUGGGCGUAAAGCGAGCGCAGGCGGUUUAAUAAGUCUGAAGUUAAAGGCAGUGGCUUAACCAUUGUUCGCUUUGGAAACUGUUAAACUUGAGUGCAGAAGGGGAGAGUGGAAUUCCAUGUGUAGCGGUGAAAAUGCGUAGAUAUAUGGAGGAACACCGGUGGCGAAAGCGGCUCUCUGGUCUGUAACUGACGCUGAGGCUCGAAAGCGUGGGGAGCAAACAGGAUUAGAUACCCUGGUAGUCCACGCCGUAAACGAUGAGUGCUAGGUGUUAGGCCCUUUUCCGGGGCUUAGUGCCGCAGCUAACGCAUUAAGCACUCCGCCUGGGGAGUACGACCGCA